AACGAACGCUGGCGGCAGGCUUAACACAUGCAAGUCGAGCGAGACCUUCGGGUCUAGCGGCGGACGGGUGAGUAACGCGUGGGAACGUGCCCUUCUCUACGGAAUAGCCCCGGGAAACUGGGAGUAAUACCGUAUACGCCCUCUGGGGGAAAGAUUUAUCGGAGAAGGAUCGGCCCGCGUUGGAUUAGGUAGUUGGUGGGGUAAUGUCCCACCAAGCCGACGAUCCAUAGCUGGUUUGAGAGGAUGAUCAGCCACACUGGGACUGAGACACGGACCGGACGCCUACGGGAGGCAGCGGUGGCGAAUCUUAGACUAUGGGGGCAACCCUGAUCUCGCCAUGCCGCGUGAGUGAUGAAGGCCUUAGGGUUGUAAAGCUCUUUCAGCUGGGAAGAUAAUGACGGUACCAACAGAAGAAGCCCCGGCUAACUCCGUGUCAGCCGCCGCCGUAAUAC
rnacentral:rRNA from 1 species